CAGUUUGGAUAGACACUAAGUCAGUUUCCUGCUCUCAAUUCCAGUAAGCCAAGACUGGAGCAACAGCAGUCAGUCCCGCAGGACAUGAGAGCAGACUUCCAGCAAUUAGGGACGCAGGUGCUACCGUAAAUAAUAUCUGAUUGCGCUUUAUGCAAAACGCAAUGAAUCUCCCACAACACACCUCUUUAACCGAUUUUCACUGCCAGAGUCGAUACGCUUUGACAACAACAUGGGAAACCUACACUCAACAUUGCACAAAAAAAAAAAAAUCAAAGCUAACAUACUGCCCCAAAGUCUGCAAAAACUGCGGAAGUGAAAAACGUACAACCUACACUCCUCAUCCGAAGCCAAACCUUGGUAUUCUGCAGCUGGGUGAUCUGCGUUUUUUUUUUUACCACUAGUCAAAUUAAUCAUAGGGUUCUCUGGCGGGGAUCCCUCUAUGUGCUCUCUCUUCUUUUACAAGCUUGUCGGAAAUUUGUAAAAGACAAAUCGGAAAAAAACAGGAGACCAUUAGGAGUGGAGCCGCAGCUUUGUAAUCGAAUACACAGCCACCCCCCUCCCUCGGACUGGGUGGGCUCCUUCUGCAAAACCAAGCCCCUCCGAGGGGAGAGAAGGGGCCGGAAUAUCCCGGCUCCGAACUCGACUGCGGUUGAGGAAAGACAGACGGAUUGUGGGAGAGUGUGGGGGGUUUGCUCAGCCGGCUGUGAGCAGACCCGGACCCGCAGGCUCCGUUCCCUGAAAAGCCACGGGCAGAUUCUGGCGAAGCUCCAGCCCAGUAGCCGAGCCCCUUUUCCCCCGGGGAAGCCCGCCUGCCCCGAAUUCUGGAUCUGGCAGGAUCAGCCCGGCGUCACGCGUGAGGAAUCGGCAGCGGGUGGAAUCGGCAUUACAGAAGCCGCCAGAACGCCCUGCGAAAGGCUUGCGCAAAGCCUGCCAUCCCUUCAGCUCCGGUGACCGUUCACUAGCUCAAAAGCUCAGCUGGGAUGAAAACCAGGAGGCUCAGAGCUCAGGACUCCUACCCCAGCCGGCGGGCUGAAAAACCUCCUGUAGGCACAGAUCUGCUGCUUACAGGACAUCAGGCCAGCAGGGGUAGGUCAUACUGGGGAGGACAGAUGAAUAUAGGGGAGAAAUGAUCUUAGUAGAGAGUUUUUGUCUUUAUUUUCAAGGACAUUUUCCAAGUGAUGCCUUGCUGCUCAUGUCUCUUCCAAGAGUUUUGCCCACGAUGUGGUUUUUUUUCUUGUAUCCCAAGAAAAAUAGGUCAGAGAAAACCAAAAAGAGACAAAUCGACUGACCAGCCGCUCCCAAUGAACGGCGCCCCCAGGCAGAAAACAGAAUUCGCCCCGGGGAAGAAUAUGCCGGUGUUCGAUCGUCCUUACCCUCAGGGGACCAGACGAGCCUCAGUAAAGCCUCUCUACUGAACCCGUGAGCUCGUUGGCACCCAAAGUGGAGUGGAAUAAUGAGCACUGAGCACCAGGCCCGGACCCCCCCUCUCUAACCCCGCCACAGUUCAACCACAGGAACAGGAAGUGCUCCCUCCAGCCGAACCUGGCCCAAACCCACCGCCCCCUAAUCUCACCUGCCAGGGUCGAUUUCACCCUGCUGCAAUCUGAUUUUGUGGUGGAGAUGGAUAUUGCUUCACACGGUUUUGCGGCUUUAGAAAGCAGAUCUCUUCUGCAGGGUUGCAUAAACCAGAUGCAGGCAGAACACCAGUAAAACGGAGCCCCCAGUUGUUACAGAGGAAUCAGGUUUGAGGUGUACAGGUCAGCGCUGCCCCCCUGCCCAGACAUGCCGUGUCUGGGUUGCAAAGUCUUAUGGCGGGAGGCACGAAUGAUCAUCUGCGACGCUCCCCGUCACACCGCGGUAGGGACGCUAGCGAGCUUCCCCUCGGCAGACCACAGUGCCUGGGACUCCUGUCUGAGCUGUAAUCAGAUGCCCGAGGCCACAGGCGCGACUCUGUGUGCAAUUGCAAAGGGCAGCAUGGGGACUAUUUUUAUUAACAUCAGUGUAAGAUCUUUGCGAACAGAUCUGGGGGGGGGUGGAGGGGAGUUUUAGAUGAUUGGCAGAUUUUGGCCUCAUCGUCACCGAAACCCAAUCGAACAGCUCCAGACAUCAUUCCAGCCACCCACCAGACACCACCACAGGUCCGGACUCGUUCCUCAAGGGAAGCGGAGGAGAGCUCAUGCUCCUGAAUAACCAUUCCCGACGCAUGAGGAAAUGACAGUCUCUCGUGCAACGGGCAAAGCCGAACCUGAUCUCUGGGUUCCUUGACCCUUAUCGUGGCUUUGAUUUAAAACCAAAAAGCCGCUGCAGAAAUGCACAAACCGCUGAAGUCAAGGAAUGAUCUGAACUGGGGAAGAAAAACAAACAAACUGUGGGGUUUUCUUUAGGCUGUUAAACAUUUUUUCCCGCCCUGAAUACACACUUGGGAUUUCUCCCUCCUGUGUGGAGCAGAGGGAUUCAAGGGCUCCUUGUGCCAGUUUUUUCCAGCCUGAGUAAACUCCAUUUGCGUCAAGGUGUGACGUUGACACUAGACAGGGCCGACCCCAUGCGCUCUGCUCCGAAAACCGCAGGAGCCAUCGGAAACGUUUGGGCUCGGAAGAGAGAGACCAGACCGUCCAAAUUCUUAAAGCGCUCGCUCACCGGCAACUCGGAUUUCUGGAGUUCAAACGCGGAGUUGUUUCUUUAAAACGUGCGCAUCACAGGGCAAAAACCUUCAGUGCAAAAACUUCCAAAUCGGAAUCCGGAGAAAUUCAACGUUUGCCCCUUUACGCUAGACUGAAGAAAUCUGCUCUUCAGGAGAAGUUUGGAAAACUGGCGUCAUUUUUUUAAAAAUCUGGGCGUGGCCAGGGAUAAUCUGUCAAUACAUAACCUAACCUCAAAGAUAAGGGUAUCUUAGCACAGGAACUCUUGUGUAAUUGAUGACACUGUUGAAGUAUCUCUUGGCACAGCACCGAGUGUGAAAGGAGGCGUAAGAACUCCAGAUAUGGCCUUGUACAACAAUACACUGCUAAGAGGAAACAUCUGCCAAUCUGUGUUUUUACUUCACAAAAAAAGACCAGCUUCGGCUGGUGAUAUUCAACCCGGAAAAUGGAGAAGAAAAAAAAUCGCCAGGCAAGUUUCUCAAAAUUGACUGGAACACAGCUCUCCUAGUCAGCACCCAGUCUCUGUUUCAUUUGAAGGCUGUUUUGGGUAAAUUUGUUUUUCAAUUAAAUAUGGGGGAAAGUGGGCAUCAUCACCGAUCCCAAAUUUAAAUUUGCCCGUCGUUGCGUGGGCACGUGGCUCAACCCAAUGAACUUAAUACAGACCACAAGCAGAAACAGCAGCUCAGUGAACACAGGAAGCUCUUCUUUGCACAAACAGCGGGGAGGCUCUGGAACAGACAACCCAGCCAUUUAGUCAAAACCAAUUCAGAAGCUUUCUUCGAGACAUCACUGAAUUAAAUUGUCAGAAUAUUGAGCUACUCACAAAACAGCGUUGCCAUCUAAUAUAUAUCCUGAUCUGUUCAGAUCUCAGACAGCCAGCAGGGCUGGGCCCAGUCUAUACUGGGGCGAGACUUCAAAGGAAACUAGGUUGCUGCUGCUGCUGCAAGUGGUGUUGGUGGACCAGUAGGAGGUGCUCUUCCCACUGGACAAGAAUUUACAAACAAUUCUCUAGGCUGGGGUCAACAGGAAGUUGUCCUUUGGCCGACGCCUCCCAUGGGGAAAAAUCUCAUGGCAGCGCUCGGGCAGGGAUGUUAAAUCUGGUGCCCUGGCUAAACUUCACUCUGGGCUUAAAGACCCUCAAGUAUCCACUUAAUUCAACCACUGAAGUCCUUUCCCACUUCUCCCUCUGACCAGCUGGGAAGGGGGGCUGCUGCUUGGCAACCAGUUGGGGCCCACACGUCAGUGGAGAACGAUGGGGGUCCCCCUCCUGUACAGCAGGCCAAAGUGUUUCGGGGUCCUCCGGGAUGAGCAGUUAUCAUUAACCAUCACCGUGAGAUGGCCCAAUUGGCCUCCAGUCGCCUUACCGCGGCCAAAAGGCUCUAUAUUCGAUGCGAUUUAUUUUUAUAUAGCGCCUUUCACAACAAGGUCGCCCCAAGGCGCCCAACAAUGCAAGUGAGUGUACAUUUAGUCAAUACAGAACAGAAGACAACGGAGGAGAGGAACCAAAAACUCCCGAGUAAGGACUCCUCCUCAUUUGUUUGACUCCCAAGUGGAAAAGUAGCGGAGAAUCCGUGCAAUGCGGAUCCAGCCCAGUGUCCAAGACGGCGCCGUCCAUCGACGCAGUAGCACAGCUGCGUUUUCGCCGUUCAGCAGGCAAUGACGGAAAGGAACGCAAACACGGGGGAGAACUUCCCAGGCAGACCUCGGAGAGUCAUUCGGGACUCCGACGGCAACUAUUUUAAAACGCACACGGUCACGGUCUCAGGAUACAGACGGAGGAGCGCGUGGGCUGGGGCGCUGGGGAGGGGGAGACGCUGGAAAAAGCCUUAGUCAGGGCGGGAGAUGAUGAGAUCUGUUUGCGCGGAGGCGCCGCUUGGCGUCACGGGCUGACCCACAGCGCGGAGGGAGAGAGAGCCGUGGGGCUCAGCAGACGGGGAGCACGAUGCCGUCUGUGAGUGAGAUGGGACGUCCGGGCGGCUGGAUUCACCUGUGAUUCAGCACCACUCACAGACCCAGGCAGCAGGCGGAAACAAUCUGGGAAUUAAGGGCAGAUCACAGUUUUCCAGCCCCCUCCUCAAAUAAAUAAACUAUUCCCUCAACCAUACCUUUCAAAAUUGUUUAAUUAAAAGGCGCAGUCAGCUAUAAAAGUUGCUUAAUUGACCGCUACUAAGAGCUCUGGUCUCCCUAGGGCCCGAGUCCGAGAGCUCAGAUUUGCAGAAUAUAACUGUAACAGACUGUUUUUAUGCCACCACAUGGUAGAAAAGAGAUUUCUGCUCUGGAAGUGGUUCAGAGAAGAGCAGGCGGCCAAAAAGCAAUCCUACAGCUUAAGCAAAUAACUCCGUACAGACAGGCUGGGGUAACCAGAGCGUUUUAAACUUGAAUACCAAGCCCAGCAGGGGAAUUCAGACAG
rnacentral:lncRNA from 1 species